rnacentral:rRNA from 1 species
AAACUAACAAGGAUUCCCUUAGUAACUGCGAGUGAACAGGGAAAAGCUCAAAUUUAAAAUCUGGCAGUCGCUUUGGCUGUCCGAGUUGUAAUUUAGAGAAGUGUUACCCGCGCUGGACCGUAUACAAGUCCUCUGGAAUGGGGCGUCAUAGAGGGUGAGAAUCCCGUCUUUGAUACGGACUACCAGUGCUUUGUGGUGUGCUCUCGAAGAGUCGAGUUGUUUGGGAAUGCAGCUCAAAAUGGGUGGUAAAUUCCAUCUAAAGCUAAAUACAGGCGAGAGACCGAUAGCGAACAAGUACCGUGAGGGAAAGAUGAAAAGAACUUUGGAAAGAGAGUUAAACAGUACGUGAAAUUGCUGAAAGGGAAACGCUUGAAGUCAGUCGCGUUGGCUGAGAAUCAGCUUUGCUUUACUGCUUGGUGUACUUCUCAGUCGAUGGGUCAGCAUCAGUUUUGACUGCUGGAUAAAGCUCAAGGGAAUGUGGCAUCUUCGGAUGUGUUAUAGCCCAUGUUCGUAUACAGCAGUUGGGACUGAGGAACUCAGCACGCCGCAAGGCCGGGUUUUUAACCACGUACGUGCUUAGGAUGCUGGCAUAAUGGCUUUAAUCGACCCGUCU